GCCUGGCUGGCUCAGUUGCUAGAGCAUGUGACUCUUGAUCUCAGGGUCAUGGGUUCAAGUACCACGCUGGGUA
rnacentral:tRNA from 1 species